GCUGGGCGUGGUGGCGGGCGCCUGUAGUCCCAGCUACUCAGGAGGCUGAGGCAGGAGAAUUGCUUGAACCCGGGAGGUGGAGGUUGCAGUGAGCCGAGAUCGCGCCACUGCACUCCAGCCUGGGCAACAGAGCAAGACUCCGCCUCAA
rnacentral:SRP_RNA from 2 species